AUGGGGGGAGGGGAGAGUUAUAGUGCCAGGGUAGUUGGCAAAAGACUGCUCAAGUCAGGACGCCUCCAACAGGUAAAUGCAGCCAGGGAAGUGCGCAUGGGAUGUGGCUAUGGAGGAUCCUCUUUUACCCCUCCUGGGAAACCUGCAUGCUCGAUCACCUCUCUGAAAUGCCUGUACACCAAUGCACGCAGCAUGGGGAACAAACAGGAAGAACUAGAGAUCUGUGUGCGGUCGCAGGGCCAUGAUCUCAUUGCCGUUACAGAGACGUGGUGGGAUAGCUCGCAUGACUGGAGUGCUGUCAUGGAUGGCUACGUGCUUUUUAGGAAAGACAGGCCAGGAAAGCGAGGUGGUGGAGUUGCUCUUUAUGUGAGAGAGCAACUGGAAUGUAUUGAGCUGUGCCUAGGGGUGGAUGAAGAGCGAGUCGAGAGCUUAUGGGUAAGGAUCAAAGGGCAGGCUAGCAUGGGKGACACUGUUGUGGGUGUUUACUACAGGCCACCUGAUCAGGAAGAGGAAGUCGAUGAGGCCUUCUACAGACAGCUGGAAGCAGCCUCACGAUCCCAGGCCCUGGUUCUCAUGGGGGACUUCAACCACCCCGAUAUCUGCUGGAGAGACAACACAGCUAGGCACAAACAGUCCCGGAGGUUCCUGCAGAGCAUUGGUGACAACUUCUUGACACAGGUGGUGGAGGAGCCAACAAGGAGAGGUGUGCUGCUGGACCUUGUACUAACAAACAAAGAAGGACUGGUUGGAGAUGUGAAGGUCAGGGGCAGCCUUGGCUGCAGUGACCAUGAGAUGGUGGAGUUCAGGAUCCUGCGAGGAGGAGGCAGGGCACUGAGUAGGAUCACAACCCUGGACUUGAGGAGAGCAAACUUUGGCCUCUUCAGGGACCUACUUGGAGGAAUCCCAUGGGUGAGGGCCCUAGAAGGAAGGAGUGUUCAAGAGAGCUGGUUAAUAUUCAAACAUCACUUCCUCCAGGCUCAAGAGCGGUGCAUCCCUAUGAGUAGGAAGUCAAGCAAAGGGGGCAGGAGACCUGCAUGGAUGAGCAAGGAGCUCCUAGAAAAACUCAACCAGAAGAAGGAAGUCUACAGAAAGUGGAAAGGGGGACAGGCCACUUGGAAGGAAUAUAGGAACGUUGUCAGAGUAUGCAGGGAUGUGACGAGGAAGGCUAAGGCCCGUUGGAAUUCAAUCUGGCAAGAGAUGUCAAGGACAACAAGAAGGGCUUCUUCAAAUACAUCAGUAGCAAGAGGAAGACUAGGGAAAAUGUGGGCCCUUUGCUGA
rnacentral:lncRNA from 1 species